rnacentral:rRNA from 1 species
GACGGAGGGGGCUAGCGUUGUUCGGAAUUACUGGGCGUAAAGAGCGCGUAGGCGGUUUAGUAAGUUGGAAGUGAAAGCCCGAGGCUUAACCUCGGAAUUGCUUUCAAAACUGCUAAACUAGAGUAUGGUAGGGGAUGGUAGAAUUUCUAGUGUAGAGGUGGAAUUCUUAGAUAUUAGAAGGAAUACCGGUGGCGAAGGCGACCAUCUGGACCAUUACUGACGCUGAGGUGCGAAAGCGUGGGGAGCAAACAGG